AUUGAGUAUAUUACUUGCUCAGUGGUUGCAAGUUGAUAUAGAUCGUGUCUAACGCAAACGCGUGUACGCAUUGUGUACGUUAUAAUAAGUUGUGGCUGCUGGUGUGUUUGCAAUUGUUUUAACGUCGUAAUGGAGCCGUGUAAUUUUUCUUACUAUACUGGCAAACAGGAACUAUUGUUAGUUGAAAUUACGAUAGUUUGCUUCAGCAUGACUGGAAAGUAGUAGUUACAAGAUGACAAAUUGGUGUUGAUUUAGACCACCUUCUUAAAUGUUCUGCUGAAAUUGCUGACCAUUUCCACAACAUUGAAGCGAACUUAAUUGAAAAUAGGACUGUUUGCUGUCUAGGCCAACAUGGUCUGAAAGUUAUUGGAUCGAAAGGUAGGCUGUUUGAAUACGUAUUUGGG